rnacentral:lncRNA from 1 species
CCAGGUCUGUAAUGAGCUAAUCCAGCACAAAGCAGAACUUUGAAAUGGAACCUGAAGAAUCUAGUCUUUGAACCGACCUGAUGGCAAUCAAAAUCUGAAGAGGAAGUGUGACUGAAAAAGAACAAUCAGUAAGCAACAUGGUCCUUCCAGACAGACACCAGAAAAGUGCAUACAUCUGUCUAAUAGAGACCUUUCUGUGACCGGAAACCUCGUCUGCUUUCUAUGUGAUGCCCUAGGGAACAUAGUUUCUCUCUGGAUUGAGGAGAGAGAGAAAGAAGAAUGUCUGGGAGGAAGAAGAGAAAAUACCUUGUGUAGAAGCACUCUUUCCAUUGCUGAG